CAUUUCCUUCUUGACACGUGUACUUAUACUGCACUGCCUUUGAUUUGUGGUUCUUUUGCAGGAACAAUACCCACCCUCCAUUUAGAGGGUUUACUUACUUAAAUCUAGAUAUUAUAACCAUCAAUAACAUACACUACAAGGACCUGUAAAUGAGUGAGGUGACCUGUAAGUGAGUGACAGCCUUCCAAGCUGAGAACCCCCCUCUCCUCCUGGGGAUACUGUCGGUAGCUGACACGGCUGAAGCCUGGCGGGUUGUGUGUGCCAAUACUAAGAAUGAGGAAAACUCCAUGUGUUUAUUUUUAGAUGAAGAAAGGAAAGCUCUGAUACUAUCUUCCCAUGCUUCUGCGGACGGUGGGUGCGACCUCUGGGUGUGUGUACUCAUCCACUUUGGAGAUUCUGGAUGGAGAUAACAAAAUGUGUACAAUCAAAGUGAGGCAGACGGCACAGCGUUCAAGCAAGGGUACUUCAGACCAACGUGAAAGACUGCGGACAUGUCGCAUCAUCAAAGCAGCAAGUAAUGCAAUGGAAUCUACUUUGGUUCACUCUGUGGUUUACACAGACUUGUCUCUAAGCCUCAAGGAACUUGUGUUCCCACUGGAGGAGCCGUGGAGUAGGCAAGAGACUCCCUCUCUACAUUUUAUUUAUUUGACAGAGAGAGAGGGAGAGAGAGAAAGAGAGAGAGCGAGCACCAACAUGAGCAGAGGGAGAGGGAGAAGCAGGCUCCCUGCCGAGCAAGGAGCCCAACGUGGGGCUCCAUCCCAGAACCCUGGGAUCAUGACCUGAGCCGAAGGCCGCCACUUAAUUGACUGAGCCACCCAGGCGUCCCAAAACUCUUCUGUUUUUACUUGAAACUUGGUCGAUGUUGAUGCCAUUUACUGAGAUAAGGAAGACUGCACAAGGAAGAGCUGAUUCAUUUUGUGUUUGACUUUUUGAAGAAAACAAGGAAUUCUGAUUGAACCUUCUUCAACAUUUGUGGGAUUGUCACGUAGGCAACUGGACGUACUUGUCUGGAGCUCAGAAAGGACGGUCGGGUUUGGAAAUCCACAAAAUCUAACAUGACUUUUACACUGUCCAGAGAUAAGAACAGUUCUUGCCUUUAACACACUGCAUAUGUUACUAUUAAUUGACUCUGCUCUUUACUUAUAUUCAGCCAUGAAAUUCCUUUCACGUCUUCUCUCAUUUGGUGUCACAAUUCUAUUGUCCUGUUACUUAAUCCACCCAGAUCAUAUCACCUAUGGGUUAGAUGGGAGGGACAUACAGCAGUGGCUCACAGAUAUCUGGUCAUUUGGAAAACACGCUGGAAGGAUCUGCGAAGUUAAAAGUGCUCCAAGGUUAGUGCCUCCUGUCUCAGAUAUUCAACACUGCUGACUGUCUUAAUGAAAAAUAUCAACUCUGAACUCCCUGUCAGCUAAAAAUAACAGUAAUUCUUAGUCUUUUUUACCAAUACUUUUCAAGGUUAACUCCAUGAAAAAAGAUAUAGCAAAGGCUUGCUGGAGCCAAAUUUCAGGGGCACUUAGGGCAGGGAAGGGGAAGGCAAAGUGCUGAAAGAAGCAAAAAGUAGAGAUGUUAUUUACAGCUCUGUCAUGGCAUUCUUUUCAAAAUAUGCAAAAGAGUUUAAACAACUUUUUGAAUGAACUUCCAUUGUGCCUGCACUAUUUUGGAUGGCAGUAUUCAAUAAAAAACUGUUGGACAACCUGA